GAUGAAGAACGUAGCGAAAUGCGAUAAGUAAUGUGAAUUGCAGAAUUCAGUGAAUCAUCGAAUCUUUGAACGCACAUUGCGCCCUUUGGUAUUCCAAAGGGCAUGCCUGUUCGAGCGUCGUUUGUACCCUCAAGCUUUGCUUGGUGUUGGGCGUCUUGUCUCUAGCUUUGCUGGAGACUCGCCUUAAAGUAAUUGGCAGCCGGCCUACUGGUUUCGGAGCGCAGCACAAGUCGCACUCUCUAUCAGCAAAGGUCUAGCAUCCAUUAAGCCUUUUUUUCAACUUUUGACCUCGGAUCAGGUAGGGAUACCCGCUGAACUUAAGCAUAUCAAUAAGCGGAGGA
rnacentral:misc_RNA from 1 species